UUGUUUAAAUAAAAGAUCUGGCCUGCCCAAUGAUUUUUUAAUGGCUGCAGUAUAUUGACUGUACAAAGGUAGCAUAAUCAUUUGUCCUUUAAUUGAGGUCUGGAAUGAAUGGUUGGAUGAAAAGUAGACUUUCUUUAUUUUAUAAAUAUAAAAUUUAAUUUCUGAAUCAAAAAGUUUAGAUUUUAAUAUAGGACGAGAAGACCCUAUAGAGCUUUAUUCUCCCUAAAAUAAUUAUUUACUUGUAAAUAAUUAUUUAUCAUUUUAGGGAGAAUUUUGUUGGGGUGACAAAAAAAAUUUAAUAACUUUUUUUAUAUUUAUUAUUUAUAUAUAAUUUUUUGAUCCUUUAGUAAGGAUAAUAAGAUUAAGUUACCUUAGGGAUAACAGCGUUAUUAUUUUAGAGAGUUCAUAUUGAUAAAAUASUUUGCGACCUCGAUGUUGGAUUAAAAUUAGUUUCAGGGGCAGAAUAUUGAUUUACUGGGUCUGUUCGACCUUUAAAUUUU
rnacentral:rRNA from 1 species